GACGAACGCUGGCGGCGUGCUUAACACAUGCAAGUCGAACGGGAAGGCCCUGCUUUUGUGUGGUGCUCGAGUGGCGAACGGGUGUGUAACACGUGGGUAACCUGCCCUUGACUGUGGGAUAACGUCAGGAAACUGGGGCUAAUACCGGAUAGGAGCUCCUCCUGCAUGGUGUGGGUUGGAAAGUUUCGGCGGGUGGGGAUGGACUCGCGGCUUAGCAGCUUGUUGGUGGGGUAGUGGCUUACCACGGCUUUGACGGGUAGCCGGCCUGAGAGGGUGACCGGGCACAUUGGGACGGAGAUACGGCCCAGACUCCUACGGGGGGCAGAAGUGGGGAAUAUUGCACAAUGGGCGGAAGACUGAUGCAGAAACGCCGCGUGCGGGAUGACGGCCUUCGGGUUGUAAACCGCUUUCGCAUGUGACGAAGCGUGAGUGACGGUAAUGGGUAAAGAAGCACCGGCUAACUACGUG
rnacentral:rRNA from 1 species